GGGGGAGUGCAAUCUCAGGACAGCAAGAGAGCAGGGGAAACGGAAGUGAGACCAAAGAGGAGGGAAAACAAAUACAAGGACACAUCAGAUGUUUGCCUUCGCAUACCAUACAUUCUCAAAGCAUGCAGGACAUGGAGACUCACCCCAGGCGCAGCUGUCGCAAAGCUUCAUCCGGCUACAGCUUCUUUGACCCUUCUCUAUUACACAGGCUCAUCAUGGUCAAAGACUUCUCUCCCGCAUCACGGAACUUAGAACUUGAUUCUGAAUUCCCACUCUUUGUUUGCCAUUGUGGCACAAGCCUUCUCUCCACUAGCCCGAUGGUCUUCAAUGUGCUCUGACCCCCACAGUCCCCAAGAGUCCUGCUGAAAAUAAAUACAACCUGCCCUGUGUGUCUCCACCACAAGAGGAGCAGGCGGCAGGGAAUAACCUGAUUGAGAAAUCAGCCAUAACUGGUUUUCUUGGCUGUAGACUCUUCAGGAAAGAAUGUGAAGUAUUUUUCCCACAUCCUCCCAGGAGGGCCACCAGGGGCUCCAGUCCUGGAGGUCGAGGAGCAUUGGAGCUGGUUCUGCAGUUGGGGAGUGGGAGUAGCCUUACCUGUCGGACAGUGACUUCCAGUAUCUGAGAAGAGGGUGGGAGAUCAUGAGCGUCCACAAGUGGCAGAAGUUGAGAUCCAAAUGGAACACACACACCCUCCCACCUCCCAGGAUGGCAAAACCUGGUACAGAGAUGGCUGUAAGGAGGAGGCUGGAAGAAAGACCACUAAGUGGCCAGUUAUUGGGCAAAGCCACUGUGAGUGGGCAGCUCACCAGCCUGCCUGGAGAAGCAGUGCCCACAGACAGGAAGCACCAGCAUUCAGCAAGGAGCACAAGGAGCAACUGUAACUGUGGCCAUCUCUACUGAAUAAGGACCAGCUGCCCCAGUUCUACAAGAUCGAGUCCUUUGCUUGUUUGGGAGAUUUUUUGUGCCUUUUGUUUUUGUAAAAUCCAACGUUCCGAGGGAAGAAGCCCUAAUAAUGACAUUAAAUUUCUCACUAACUGUGGAUGGGACUUGGGACCAGAUUUAAAUAAACUUGGACAAAUAAAGAACAUUGGCAUUUUGUUUCCCAUCAAGUGUCUUGGAGCUAUUCAUUCCUCACUUACAUGUGACACCAUGAGGGACAUUCAUGUG
rnacentral:lncRNA from 1 species